CGCCUGGGGAGUGCGGCCGCAAGGUUAAAACUCAAAUGAAUUGACGGGGCCCGCACAAGCGGUGGAGCAUGUGGUUUAAUUCGAUGCAGCGCGAAGAACCUUACCUACACUUGACAUGCAGAGAACUUUCUAGAGAUAGAUUGGUGCCUUCGGGAACUCUGACACAGGUGCUGCAUGGCUGUCGUCAGCUCGUGUCGUGAGAUGUUGGGUUAAGUCCCGCAACGAGCGCAACCCUUGUCCUUAGUUGCCAGCAUUAAGUUGGGCACUCUAAGAGACUGCCGGUGACAAACCGGAGGAAGUGGGGACGACGUCAAGUCAUCAUGGCCCUUACGUGUAGGGCUACACACGUGCUACAAUGGCAUUUACAGAGGGAAGCGAGACAGUGA
rnacentral:rRNA from 1 species